GGUUUAAAAGUCCGAUGGCUGUGCAGAAUGCAAGCAUGGGGACGGUCUUGACGAAAGCAGGUAUACAGAUUUCUCAUACAUUUGAAGAAAUGGGAAGGCCUGGGAGGACACCUACUGAAGUCCCGCUCUCAACACAGCAGACUUUGGAUAUGAGUUUAGUGCAAGGCUGUGGAGCAGAUAAUAAAUAUGAAAACUACUCCAUGUAUUUUGAAAUGUGUCAAAGCAAGACCAAGUGUUUUGAAGUUGUGAAUACAGAGAAUUAGCACCGUAGGACAUCUAAAAGGAAGACGGCGUUUGAAAAAUGGGGCAGGAGUGCAAUGGCUCAUCCUAAGGCGGUGUUUACCGUUGCCAGCCUCCCCAGUGUGCUGAGUCUAGGGCAAGCAAAGUUUCUCCAGCUUCAUUUAUCCUUUUAUAGCACAUUAAUAAAGUGAUUCACUUGUUUGUCAGCACUUUCUUUAAAGCCUGAAAUUAACAUCAAUCACACCCGC
rnacentral:lncRNA from 1 species